ACUCCUACGGGAGGCAGCAGUGGGGAAUAUUGGACAAUGGGCGAAAGCCUGAUCCAGCCAUGCCGCGUGAGUGAUGAAGGCCCUAGGGUUGUAAAGCUCUUUUGUGCGGGAAGAUAAUGACGGUACCGCAAGAAUAAGCCCCGGCUAACUUCGUGCCAGCAGCCGCGGUAAUAAU
rnacentral:rRNA from 1 species